GAAAAAUAAGACCUGCACUGCAGCACUGCUGGGUAUGAGUCCUCUGCAUAAAAUGAGACAAACUUGCGUAUGAAGGUAAUUAACCGUGGUGAUCAGCUGAGUGAGGCAGUUCCUGUGUCUAUGACCAGAAAAACAGUGUUGAAGAGCAGGAACCAUCCAAGUGACAUUUGCAGGGGAAUAGGGGGAAAGAAAUGCUAUCGAGGGAUAGUCCCCACACACAUUAGAGUGUCAAAAGAUCCCACAAAAUGUAUCAGUUUGGCCAAAUUUUCUGAAUGGCUAGAUUAAGUGACAAGAAGGAGAUACCAGAAGGAUAAGAUUUUUGACUAUUGC